UAAUAAGAAGUAAAUAUUUUUUACAUAUUAAUUUCGACUUAAUAAUAGAUUCAAAAUCCUUAUUAA
rnacentral:tRNA from 1 species